UACCCCGGAAAGGGAAAACUCUACGUCCGCGGCGACGGCAAAGUCUUCCGCUUCCAGAAUGGCAAGACCGAAUCCCUCUUUCUCCAACGCAAAAACCCUCG
rnacentral:sRNA from 1 species